rnacentral:rRNA from 1 species
UACGUAGGGGGCUAGCGUUGUCCGGAAUCAUUGGGCGUAAAGAGCGUGUAGGCGGCCAAGCAGGUCCGUUGUGAAAACUGGAGGCUUAACCUCCAGAACCGUCGACGGAAACCGCGCGGCUAGAGUCCGGAAGAGGAGAGUGGGAAUUCCUGGUGUGAGCGGGUGAAAUGACGCAGAUAUCAAGGAAGAACACCAAUGGCGAAGGCAGCUCUCUGGGGAACGGUACUGACGCUGAGACGCGAAAGCGUGGGGAGCGAACAGG